rnacentral:rRNA from 1 species
GAUUAGAUACCGUCGUAGUCUUAACUAUAAACUAUGCCGACCAGGGAUAUGAGUUGUUAUGAAUGAUUUUUAAUCAUUCAAUUUCCUCUUGUGGACCUUGUGAGAAAUCAUAAGUUUUUGGGUUCUGGGGGGAGUAUGGUCGCAAGGCUGAAACUUAAAGGAAUUGACGGAGGGGCACCACCAGGAGUGGAGCGUGCGGCUUAAUUUGACUCAACACGGGAAAACUUACCAGGUCCAGACAUUAGAAGGAUUGACAGAUUGAUAGCUCUUUCAUGAUUUAAUGGGUGGUGGUGCAUGGCCGUUCUUAGUUGGUGGAGUGAUUUGUCUGGUUAAUUCCGAUAACGAACGAGACCUUUACCAUACUAAAUAGUUUGAUUUAUUCAUUUAUGAAUAGAUUUAUUUUAUUAAACUUCUUAGAGGGACUAUUGGUUCUUAAACCAAAGGAAGUAAAGGCGAUAACAGGUCUGUGAUGCCCUUAGAUGUUCUGGGCUGCACGCGCGCUACAAUGAUAAACUCAACGAGUAUUUAAUAUUUAUUUAUUAUAUUGCUGUAUUGGAAAGUAUGGCUAAUCUUAAACGUUUAUCGUGCUUGGGAUAGAUGAUUGCAAUUAUUUAUCUUGAACCAGGAAUUCCUAGUAAUCGUAUAUCAUCAGUGUGCGAUGAUUACGUCCCUGCCCCUUGUACACACCGCCCGUCGCUGCUACCGAUUGGAUGAUCCGGUGAAAUCCUCGGAUAAUGAUAAAUACUUUACUUUUUUGUAAAGUUUAUCGUUAGAAGUUGAUUAAACCUUAUCAUCUAGAGGAAGCAAAAGUCGUAACAAGGUUUCCGUAGGUGAACCUGCAGAAGGAUCA